rnacentral:rRNA from 1 species
UGCCUAACACAUGCAAGUCGAACGGUAACAGGUCUUCGGAUGCUGACGAGUGGCGCACGGGUGAGUAACGCGUGGAUAUCUGCCUAUGAGUGGGGGACAACUUUCGGAAACGAAAGCUAAUACCGCAUAAUCUCUACGGAGCAAAGCAGGGGACCUUUCGGGGCCUUGUGCUKAUAGAUGAGUCCGCGUCAGAUUAGCUAGUUGGUGGGGUAAGAGCCUACCAAGGCGAUGAUCUGUAGCUGGUUUGAGAGGAUGAUCAGUCACACUGGAACUGAGACACGGUCCAGACUCCUACGGGAGGCAGCAGUGGGGAAUUUUGCACAAUGGGCGCAAGCCUGAUGCAGCGAUGCCGCGUGUGGGAAGAAGGCCUUUGGGUUGUAAACCACUUUCAAUUGGGAAGAAGGGAUGAGUAUUAAUAAUACUCUGACUUGACGGUACCUUUAGAAGAAGCACCGGCUAAUUUCGUGCCAGCAGCCGCGGUAAUACGAAAGGUGCAAGCGUUGUUCGGAUUUACUGGGCGUAAAGAGAUCGUAGGUGGUUUGUUAAGUUAGAUGUGAAAUCCCGGGGCUCAACCUCGGAACUGCAUCUAAAACUGGCAGACUUGAGUUCGGGAGGGGUAAGCGGAAUUCCGUGUGUAGCAGUGAAAUGCGUAGAUAUACGGAGGAACACCUGAGGCGAAGGCGGCUUACUGGACCGAUACUGACACUGAGGAUCGAAAGCGUGGGUAGCAAACAGGAUUAGAUACCCUGGUAGUCCACGCCCUAAACGAUGUCAACUAGCCGUUGCGGGUAUCGACCCCUGCAGUGGCGCAGCUAACGCGAUAAGUUGACCGCCUGGGGAGUAC